CCAAAUAGGCAUAACAUACGCCAAACACACUUUUGUUGCACUUCUCACACAACCCAGCACAUGCCUGACACCUCCUUUGCCACGUGUCUUUGCCCUAUUUGUUGGUCAAAUUCAUUUAAUUUCCAAUUAUCGAAAACUUUCAAUUUUAUCCUCACUUAUUUCACCUAACAUACCAUUAGUGCCCCCCCCCCCCCCAAAAAAAAAAAAAAAAACCUAAAACCUAGCCUAAGUUUCUCUACUCUCAAUGAACCACCUCUUUGAACAUGCCUCAACGUUUUCUUCUCCUCUUCAAGCAAAAAUACAGACCCCUUUCACCAUGGGCAGGAUUUGCUACUCCAUUUUUGUGAUGAAUCCUUUCCGUCACAUGAAGAUCGAGUGGAGACAAAUUUCAACAUUUGAAUGUUGAACGUUCAAAAUUUGAGGAACCCAAUUCCCGCUCAAAGGAUGAAUUCCAACAAAUCUGCUAUAAAUACUCAUGCUUGGAAGCUUAGAAAAAAAAGAAAAAGGGAGGAAAGGAAGAAAAAAAAAAAGGAGGACGGACGACCUAGCAUUGUUUGUAGUUUUUUCUCGGCCAUUCAUUCUUUAAGCCGUGAGCAAGCCAUUUCCGCUGCUCUCAGUUGCUGAAACAUCACCCAAAAGUUACUGUGUGUUCAUUCAUUACAUUGCUCUUUUCAUUCUCUUUCACUUAUGGUAUCACCCGAGGCUUUUUCACCCGUUCCAUGGCACGAUAGUUACUAGUCUGCCGUUUUUAAAGUCUCCCCAUUUCAUUUUAUUUCGAUCUCGGGUUUAAAGAGUGUUCAAGCUUCAUCGUUUGGGUUCGGGUAUAGAUCGUAGGCUCGAAAACUCCCCGUUCACUGCCCCACAAAUUAGCAAACAACCUUGGAGUCUUAAGGCUAGACUCUCGUAUCCGCCUGGAGUCUCAAAACAAGACCAACAGUAUAUUUCAUCCGAGAAAGGAGUUAACACCAUAAUCUUAAGUCAAACCCGCCAACAGUCUAGUGCCCUUUCCUCUCCCAAGUUUCAUUUUUUAUUUGUAUACACCUAUUAUUAUUUUGCGUCGACACUUUUUUACACAUUAAUGUUGGAAUUUAUAUCCUGUUUAUGUAUGUUUGGACUAGUACAAGUUUUAUUAUUAUGGUAGAAAAUUUGGCCGUU